rnacentral:rRNA from 1 species
UACGGGGGGGGCAAGCGUUGUUCGGAAUUACUGGGCGUAAAGGGCUCGUAGGCGGCCAACUAAGUCCGACGUGAAAUCCCAAAGCUUAACUUUGGAACUGCGUGUGAUACUGGAUGGCUUGGAUUUGGGAGAGGGAUGCGGAAUUCCAGGUGUAGCGGUGAAAUGCGUAGAUAUCAGGAGGAACACCGGUGGCGAAAGCGGCUUCCUGGCCCGACACUGACGCUCAUGUACGAAAGCGUGGGGAGCAAACAGG